UUAAGCAUAUCAAUAAGCGGAGGAAAAGAAACCAACAGGGAUUGCCCUAGUAACGGCGAGUGAAGCGGCAACAGCUCAAAUUUGAAAUCUGGCGCAAGCCCGAGUUGUAAUUUGUAGAGGAUGCUUCUGGGUAGCGACCGAUCUAAGUUCCUUGGAACAGGACGUCAUAGAGGGUGAGAAUCCCGUAUGUGACCGGCCCGCACCCUUUACGUAGCUCCUUCGACGAGUCGAGUUGUUUGGGAAUGCAGCUCUAAAUGGGAGGUAAAUUUCUUCUAAAGCUAAAUACCGGCCAGAGACCGAUAGCGCACAAGUAGAGUGAUCGAAAGAUGAAAAGUACUUUGGAAAGAGAGUUAAAAAGCACGUGAAAUUGUUGAAAGGGAAGCGCCUGCAACCAGACUUCGCGGCAGUGUUCCGCCGGUCUUCUGACCGGUUCAUUCUCUGUCGCGAGGCCAUCAUCGUCUGGGCCCGCCGGAUAAGACCUGAGGAAUGUGGCUCCCCCUCGGGGGAGUGUUAUAGCCUCUGGUGAUGCGGCGUGGCUCGGGCGAGGUCCGCGCUUCGGCAAGGAUGAUGGCGUAAUGGUUGUCGGCGGCCCGUCUUGAAACACGGACCAAGGAGUCUAACAUCUAUGCGAGUGUUCGGGUGUCAAACCCCUACGCGUAAUGAAAGUGAACGGAGGUGGGAACCGCAAGGUGCACCAUCGACCGAUCCUGAUGUCCUCGGAUGGAUUUGAGUAAGAGCAUAGCUGUUGGGACCCGAAAGAUGGUGAACUAUGCCUGAAUAGGGUGAAGCCAGAGGAAACUCUGGUGGAGGCUCGCAGCGGUUCUGACGUGCAAAUCGAUCGUCAAAUUUGGGUAUAGGGGCGAAAGACUAAUCGAACCAU
rnacentral:rRNA from 1 species